rnacentral:hammerhead_ribozyme from 1 species
AGUUGAAACACCCGUAAGGGUGUCUAUGUGGAUUGGUCACCACAUACUGAUGAGACAGACCACG